rnacentral:lncRNA from 1 species
CUUGAAGCUAAUAUGUGUCUCUGAAGAUAACUUUGGACCCCGGCUAUCGUCAUGGUGUCACAAGUCUCUAAGAGACAGGCAAUUGCCGACUUGAAUCUGUAGAGAAAAUUCCAAAGUAGAAAUUCCCCUGCACUGAAGAAACCCUAAGUCCUAUUAUCCAAUGUGUAUGUGUGACAUCGCUAACCAGCUUUAAGUGCCCAGACAUUGUACUAAGUGAUUGGGACACAAAUGAAAGCAAAAACAGGGUAAAUGGUUCUCCACGUAUGAUUUUGGAUCUCACAAUUUGAGAGAUGUAGAAAAUGUGCAAAGUUCAAAGAAGAGCUUCAAAAGGGGAUUAAAGGGUAAUUUAAUCCCUACCUUUUAGUCAGAUCAUUUUAAAAAUACCUGAGAUUUUUCCUUUGAUUCUAUUGCCCAUAAAUUCAGAUUUGGUAUGGAAGACUUAACGAACAUGUUCCUUCUCAGAAAUGAUCGUGGCACCAGGAAAAUUAAUUUUUGACCUUAGCCUGGCCUAAAUAGUAGAGACUUUUUCCUAGCAUGGGCAUGGCCCUAGAUUUAAGAGAAAAGGCUAAAUGAGUUAGUAUACGAUCAUAGACUAGAGAACUAGAAAGGUAUUUGGCCUUCAUUCAGUCCACCCCUCUUUUUAUCAUCAAGGAAAAUGAGGCUCAGAGAGCCUAGUGCCAGCCAAAGAUCACACAGGGAGCAAAUGGCAAACCUGGGAUUCCAAUAGAUUUUCCUCCUACAGAUUCAGUGUUCUGUCCUUAGCAUCAUCUAGGGAGAAAAAAGCAAAUGGGUAAACUGAGUACAAAUAUUGAAAUAUUUUGAAAUAUGUAGAAGAUAGUAGCCUCUAUUCCUAAAGCUAAAAAGGUAUUUGCUUGGCAGGAGUCCAAGCCAGUGAUUUCACUGGUAUGUGAACCAUUCAUGGAAAAUAUCUCCCCCAAUGGCAGUGAUUCACCUACAAUUUAUGGUUUUGGAUGCCUAGGAGGCUAACCUAAGAAAUUAAUUGGUUUUCUCAUAGUCAGAAAACUAGUAUGUCAGAGGCAGGAUAGGAAUUCAGUUUUCCUGAAUCCAGGACCAGCCCCAUAUCUGCUACAUCACAUUGCCUUAGUCUAAACAUUAGAGGUCUUAGACCUGUUACAACAGGAAGACUUUAAGGUAAAUAG